ACAGGGAUUGCCCUAGUAACGGCGAGUGAAGCGGCAACAGCUCAAAUUUGAAAUCUGGCUCUUUUAGAGUCCGAGUUGUAAUUUGCAGAGGGCGCUUUGGCUUUGGCAGCGGUCCAAGUUCCUUGGAACAGGACGUCACAGAGGGUGAGAAUCCCGUACGUGGUCGCUGGCUAUUGCCGUGUAAAGCCCCUUCGACGAGUCGAGUUGUUUGGGAAUGCAGCUCUAAAUGGGAGGUACAUUUCUUCUAAAGCUAAAUAUUGGCCAGAGACCGAUAGCGCACAAGUAGAGUGAUCGAAAGAUGAAAAGCACUUUGGAAAGAGAGUCAAACAGCACGUGAAAUUGUUGAAAGGGAAGCGCUUGCAGCCAGACUUGCUUACAGUUGCUCAUCCGGGCUUUUGCCCGGUGCACUCUUCUGUAGGCAGGCCAGCAUCAGUUCGGGCGGUAGGAUAAAGGUCUCUGUCACGUACCUCCUCUCGGGGAGGCCUUAUAGGGGAGACGACAUACUACCAGCCUGGACUGAGGUCCGCGCAUCUGCUAGGAUGCUGGCGUAAUGGCUGUAAGCGGCCCGUCUUGAAACACGGACCAAGGAGUCUAACAUCUAUGCGAGUGUUUGGGUGUCAAGCCCGAGCGCGUAAUGAAAGUGAACGGAGGUGGGAACCCGCAAGGGUGCACCAUCGACCGAUCCUGAUGUCUUCGGAAGGAUUUGAGUAAGAGCAUGGCUGUUGGGACCCGAAAGAUGGUGAACUAUGCUUGAAUAGGGUGAAGCCAGAGGAAACUCUGGUGGAGGCUCGCAGCGGUUCUGACGUGCAAAUCGAUCGUCAAAUUUGGGCAUAGGGGCGAAAGACUAAU
rnacentral:rRNA from 1 species